rnacentral:rRNA from 1 species
UGAUGCAGCGACGCCGCGUGAGGGAUGACGGCCUUCGGGUUGUAAACCUCUUUCAGUANGGAAGAAGCGUAAGUGACGGUACCUGCAGAAGAAGCGCCGGCUAACUACGUGCCAGCAGCCGCGGUAAUACGUAGGGCGGAAGCGUUAUCCGGAAUUAUUGUCGGUAAAGAGCUCGUAGGCGGUUUGUCGCGUCUGCCGUGAAAGUCCGGGGCUCAACUCCGGAUCUGCGGUGGGUACGGGCAGACUAGAGUGAUGUAGGGGAGACUGGAAUUCCUGGUGUAGCGGUGAAAUGCGCAGAUAUCAGGAGGAACACCGAUGGCGAAGGCAGGUCUCUGGGCAUUAACUGACGCUGAGGAGCGAAAGCAUGGGGAGCGAACAGGAUUAGAUACCCUGGUAGUCCAUGCCGUAAACGUUGGGCACUAGGUGUGGGGGACAUUCCACGUUUUCCGCGCCGUAGCUAACGCAUUAAGUGCCCCGCCUGGGGAGUACGGCCGCAAGGCUAAAACUCAAAGGAAUUGAGUUCAGCUCG